rnacentral:rRNA from 1 species
AUUGAACGCUGGCGGCAUGCCUUACACAUGCAAGUCGAACGGUAAUGCGGGGCAACCUGGCGACGAGUGGCGAACGGGUGAGUAAUGCAUCGGAACGUGCCCAGUAGUGGGGGAUAGCCCGGCGAAAGCCGGAUUAAUACCGCAUACGACCUACGGGUGAAAGCGGGGGACCGUAAGGCCUCGCGCUAUUGGAGCGGCCGAUGGCAGACUUAGGUUGUUGGUGGGGUAAAAGCCUACCAAGCCGACGAUCUGUAGCUGGUCUGAGAGGACGACCAGCCACACUGGGACUGAGACACGGCCCAGACUCCUACGGGAGGCAGCAGUGGGGAAUUUUGGACAAUGGGGGCAACCCUGAUCCAGCCAUGCCGCGUGCGGGAAGAAGGCCUUCGGGUUGUAAACCGCUUUUGUCAGGGAAGAAACGCUCUGGGCUAAUACCCCGGGGUAAUGACGGUACCUGAAGAAUAAGCACCGGCUAACUACGUGCCAGCCGCCGCCGUAA